rnacentral:rRNA from 1 species
AUAUCAGUAAGCGGAGGAAAAGAAAAUAACAAUGAUUACCUCAGUAGCGGCGAGUGAAGAGGUAUAAGCCCAAGAUGUUAAUCUGUAAUAAUGUUACGGAAUUGUAAUCUAUAGAAUUUCUCCGAAAGUCAAGGCUCGUCAUAAGUUCCUUGGAACAGGACACCAAAGAGGGUGAAAGUCCCGUAUUUGGAUGAGCUGAAGCAAUAGGAGGUGUUUCUACGAGUCGGGUAGUUUGGGGAAUGCUGCCCUAAGUGGGAGAUAGACUUCUUCUAAGGCUAAAUAUAUAUGGGAGACCGAUAGCGCACAAGUA